rnacentral:rRNA from 1 species
CCUACGGGAGGCAGCAGUGAGGAAUAUUGGUCAAUGGACGAGAGUCUGAACCAGCCAAGUAGCGUGAAGGAUGACUGCCCUAUGGGUUGUAAACUUCUUUUAUAAAGGAAUAAAACGAGGCACGUGUGCGUUUUUGCAUGUACUUUAUGAAUAAGGAUCGGCUAACUCCGUGCCAGCAGCCGCGGUAAUACGGAGGAUCCGAGCGUUAUCCGGAUUUAUUGGGUUUAAAGGGAGCGUAGAUGGGUUGUUAAGUCAGUUGUGAAAGUUUGCGGCUCAACCGUAAAAUUGCAAUUGAUACUGGCAGUCUUGAGUACAGUUGAGGUAGGCGGAAUUCGUGGUGUAGCGGUGAAAUGCUUAGAUAUCACGAAGAACCCCGAUUGCGAAGACAGCUUACUAAACUGUCACUGACAUUGAUGCUCGAAAGUGUGGGUAUCAAACAGGAUUAGAUACCCGGGUAGUC